GGGAAAGUUGCAAAGAACUUUGAAGAGAGAGUUCAAAAGGACGUGAAACUGUAUGCAAGGAAACAGAUGGACCCACGAAGUCCAGUUGAGUAUGAUAUUCAUAUCUAUCAGGUAGUUGACUUGCAUUCUAACUCUUCAAUGAGGAGUGUUUGUGAGGCUUUACUGCUGAAAAGAUGCAUUUCUCAUGCUCACGAUGGAGCUCUGACUUCUCGAGGCGACUUGAUCGCUUGGGCAGCCGGGUAUUGUGGUUGGCUCUUACGAGUCACUUCACUUUACUUGGUGAUGAUCAAGUCAAGACAAGAGGGUGAAUACUCACUGUUGCGAGUUUCAGAUUGUCGACUUGUAUCGCUAGUGGAGUACUGGCUAUUGAUGAACUUCGGCUCUUGCAGUUGUAACCGUUCGCAGUAUGGUGCUCAAUCACUGGUUAUACUUGUCAAUGAUAAUCCAGAGUAUGUAGGUCGGUCAUCCAUCUGCCCCGUCUUGAAACACGGACCA
rnacentral:rRNA from 1 species